rnacentral:rRNA from 1 species
GAGUUUGAUCCUGGCUCAGAUUGAACGUUGGCGGCAGGCCUAACACAUGCAAGUCGAGCGGUAACAGGUCCAGCUUGCUGGAUGCUGACGAGCGGCGGACGGGUGAGUAACGCGUAGGAAUCUACCCAGUAGCGGGGGAUAGCCCGGGGAAACCCGGAUUAAUACCGCAUACGCCCUACGGGGGAAAGGUGGCCUCUUCUUGAAAGCUACCGCUAUUGGAGGAGCCUGCGUCGGAUUAGCUAGUUGGUGGGGUAAAGGCCUACCAAGGCGACGAUCCGUAGCUGGUCUGAGAGGACGAUCAGCCACACUGGGACUGAGACACGGCCCAGACUCCUACGGGAGGCAGCAGUGGGGAAUAUUGGACAAUGGGCGCAAGCCUGAUCCAGCCAUGCCGCGUGUGUGAAGAAGGCUUUCGGGUUGUAAAGCACUUUCAGGAGUGAAGAAAAGCGACGGGUGAAUAAUCUGUCGUCUUGACGUUAGCUCCGGAAGAAGCACCGGCUAACUCCGUGCCAGCAGCCGCGGUAAUACGGAGGGUGCGAACGUUAAUCGGAAUUACUGGGCGUAAAGCGCGUGUAGGCGGUUCGUUAAGUGGGAUGUGAAAGCCCUGGGCUCAACCUGGGAAUUGCAUUUCAAACUGGCGGACUGGAGUGCAGUAGAGGGAGGUGGAAUUCCAGGUGUAGCGGUGAAAUGCGUAGAUAUCUGGAGGAACACCGGUGGCGAAGGCGGCCUCCUGGACUGACACUGACGCUGAGACGCG